rnacentral:misc_RNA from 1 species
ACAAAUCUGUGGUGAUGUUGCGUUGCGAGGAAUUGCACGUGACACCAUUUGCUCCGUGUGCAUGCUGUGCACAUUGUGACAUUUCUGCUCAACGUCUGAUUAUUGCAUUUGAAACAGAAU